GGUUUGAUUCUGGCUCAGAUUGAACGCUGGCGGAUGCUUUACACAUGCAAGUCGAACGGCAGCACGGACUUCGGUCUGGUGGCGAGUGGCGAACGGGUGAGUAAUGUAUCGGAACGUGCCUAGUAGCGGGAUAACUACGCGAAAGGGGUAGCUAUCACUGCAUACUGGUCUGGGGGAAAGCGGGGGACCUUCGGGCCUCGCACUAGAGCGGCCGAGGGAUUAGCUAGUUGGUGGGGUAACGGCUCACCAAGGCGACGAUCCGUAGCUGGUUUGAGAGGACGACCAGCCACACUGGGACUGAGACACGGCCUGUGACUCUACGGGAGGCAGCAGUGGGGAAUUUUGGACAAUGGGGAAACCCUGAUCCAGCCAUCCCGCGUGUGCGAUGAAGGCCUUCGGGGUUGUAAAGCACUUUUGGCAGGAGAAGAAACGGCACGGGAUAAUACCCCGUGCAACUGACGGUACCUGGCAGAAUAAGCACCGGCUAACCAUGUGCCAGCAGCCGCGGUAAUACGUAGGGUGCAAGCGUUAACGGAAUUACUGGCGUAAGCGUGCGCAGGUGGUUCGGAAAGAAAGAUGUGAACCAGAGCUUAACUUUGGAACUGCAUUUUUUAACUACCGAGCUAGAGGUAAGCCAGAGGGAGGUGGAAUUAUGUAGCAGGAAAUGCGUAGAUAUGCGAGAACACUGAUGGCGAAGUGGGCAGCCUUCCCCGGAUAACACUUGACGCUCAUGCACGAAAGCGUGGGGCAAACAGAUUGAUACCCCAGAAGCCACGCCCUUAAACGAUGUCAACUAGUUGUUGGGGCCUUCGGGCCUUUGGUAGCGCAGCGCUAAUCGGGUGGAAGUUUAAUCGCCUGGGAGUACGGUCGCAAGAUUAAACCUCAGCGGAAUGGACGGGACCCGCACAAGCGGUGGAUGAUGUGGAUUAAUUCGAUGCAACGCGAAAAACCUUACCUACCCUUGAUAUACCGGAAUCCCGAAGAGAUUUGGGAGCCUGCAAGAGAACCGGAACACAGGUGCUUAUGGCUGUCGUCAUUCGUGUCGAGAUAAGCGUCAAGUCCCGCAACGCAACCCUUGUCAUUAGUUGCUACGAAAGGGCACUCUAAUGACUGCCGGUGACAAACCGGAGGAAGGUGGGGAUGACGUCAAGUCCUCAUGGCCCUUAUGGGUAGGGCUUCACAUCGUCAUACAAUGGUCGGGACAGAGGGUCGCCAACCCGCGAGGGGGAGCCGACCCAGAAACCCGAUCAGUCCGGAUCGCAGUCUGCAACUCGACUGCGUGAAGUCGGAAUCGCCAGUAACGCGGAUCAGCAUGUCGCGGUGAAUACGUUCCGUUCUGUACACACCGCCCGUCACGCGACCAUGGGAGUGGGUUUUACCAGAAGUAGUUAGCCUAACCGUAAGGAGGGCGAUUACCACGGUAGGAUUCAAGGACUGGGGUGAAGUCGUAAUAAGGUAG
rnacentral:rRNA from 1 species